rnacentral:rRNA from 1 species
UACGAAGGGGGCUAGCGUUGUUCGGAAUUACUGGGCGUAAAGGGCGCGUAGGCGGUGCUUCAAGUCAGGCGUGAAAGCCCCGGGCUCAACCUGGGAACCGCGCUUGAGACUGGAGCACUCGAGUUCGGGAGAGGAUGGUGGAAUUCCCAGUGUAGAGGUGAAAUUCGUAGAUAUUGGGAAGAACACCAGUGGCGAAGGCGGCUCACUGGCCCGGUACUGACGCUGAGAUACGAAAGCGUGGGGAGCAAACAGG